UUAAUUAUGUCAUUCAGGGGAGUUUGACAUUCAGUAAAAAGAAAGUUCAAAUUGUUUAAAAAUAUAUUUUUUAUUACAUUUAUACAUAGUAGAGGUCCCGCAGUAGUCGAAAUUCGACUAUAAUUAAUUGGAAUUGCUAUAACUUCAGUAAAAGUACAUCGAACUAUGAAAACGUGUACAGGAAAAAUCAAAAAUAUGUACUAUGGAAUCGGAAGGUAAAUAUUGAAAUCGAUACGCUCCGAUGCUUGUCAGUGCCGAUGCGAUCGUGUUUGCUCCUCAAUUCCAAUACAAAUAUGAGUACAUACUGAAACCCUGUACUGAGUCGUGUCUCUUCACAGUGCUUAUUUUUCAUCUUUCUGUGUUCUUUCGUCCUAGUAAAAAAGUUUAAAAUGCUGUGAAAUUUAGGCUUUUUUUACACAAAUCUAUUGUGCCUAUUUUUUUAAAUAUCUUCAAUUAAAUUUAACCCGUUAUAUGUAUAGCUGAAACAAAUGCUAAUGAUAGCAAAACUAUAUUUAUGGCAGGAAUAUACAACUCUAAAACAUUGUAGUAUUAUGUAAAUUUUGUAUUUGGUCAUUAAAAAUUUUAAAUUACCGUAA